AUGAGUGUCUGGAGCUGUGAUUAACCAGGCAGCAACACAUCAUUUCCUCCCGGCGCGGAUCCAGGGAGCCGGGGAGGGAGCGGGAAAGGCGGCGCGGCGGGGCGGGGCCGUCCCCGCGCCCCUGCAGGCGCCCGGCCCUGAGGGAGCGGCCCAGCCCCCGAGCCGGCCGGGAGCAAGCCGCCGGGCCCUGCGCCCCGCGCCGUCUGUCUGGCAGGCUGGGGCCGCCGGCGCGGGUCUCCUCGGAGGCGACGGGCAGGCCUGAGCCGGGCUCCCGCGGCUGGGGUGGCAGGAGGAGAGGCCGCGCGGCGCGGGGAGAGCCCAGACACUGACAGGAAGUGAAGCCCUAGAAAGUGAAGCCCUUUCAAAGCCCUGCUGAUGACAGGGCCUGGAUCCCUGAGUUACUGGUUGGAGUGGAGUUACCUGGAGUUGCCUCCCGAGCAGGAACAUCCAUGUUGGACAUUUUAUAUUAAAAAAGCAAAGACAUGGGGGAAAUGCUGGUGAUCUACUACAUGAAGAAAAGCAGAGUCCUAAAAUAGCAAUAUAUUGCUGGGACUACAGGAAUGAGAUGCCAAGGAGGCUGACUU
rnacentral:lncRNA from 1 species